rnacentral:rRNA from 1 species
UACGAAGGGUGCAAGCGUUGUUCGGAAUUAUUGGGCGUAAAGGGUUCGUAGGUGGGAAGAUAAGUCAAGUGUGAAAUCCCUGAGCUUAACUCAGGACGUGCAUUUGAAACUGUUUUUCUUGAAUGUUGGAGAGGGUCGUGGAAUUGCUGGUGUAGGAGUGAAAUCCGUAGAUAUCAGCAGGAACACCUGAGGCGAAGGCGGCGACCUGGCCAAACAUUGACACUGAGGAACGAAAGCGUGGGGAGCAAACAGG